GACGAACGCUGGCGGCGUGCUUAACACAUGCAAGUCGAACGGAAAGGCCCUGCUUUUGUGGGGUGCUCGAGUGGCGAACGGGUGAGUAACACGUGAGUAACCUGCCCUUGACUUUGGGAUAACUUCAGGAAACUGGGGCUAAUACCGGAUAGGAGCUCCUGCUGCAUGGUGGGGGUUGGAAAGUUUCGGCGGUUGGGGAUGGACUCGCGGCUUAUCAGCUUGUUGGUGGGGUAGUGGCUUACCAAGGCUUUGACGGGUAGCCGGCCUGAGAGGGUGACCGGCCACAUUGGGACUGAGAUACGGCCCAGACUCCUACGGGAGGCAGCAGUGGGGAAUAUUGCACAAUGGGCGGAAGUCUGAUGCAGCAACGCCGCGUGCGGGAUGACGGCCUUCGGGUUGUAAACCGCUUUCGCCUGUGACGAAGCGUGAGUGACGGUAAUGGGUAAAGAAGCACCGGCUAACUACGUGCCAGCAGCCGCGGUGAUACGUAGGGUGCGAGCGUUGUCCGGAUUUAUUGGGCGUAAAGGGCUCGUAGGUGGUUGAUCGCGUCGGAAGUGUAAUCUUGGGGCUUAACCCUGAGCGUGCUUUCGAUACGGGUUGACUUGAGGAAGGUAGGGGAGAAUGGAAUUCCUGGUGGAGCGGUGGAAUGCGCAGAUAUCAGGAGGAACACCAGUGGCGAAGGCGGUUCUCUGGGCCUUUCCUGACGCUGAGGAGCGAAAGCGUGGGGAGCGAACAGGCUUAGAUACCCUGGUAGUCCACGCUGUAAACGGUGGGUACUAGGUGUGGGGUCCAUUCCACGGGUUCCGUGCCGUAGCUAACGCUUUAAGUACCCCGCCUGGGGAGUACGGCCGCAAGGCUAAAACUCAAAGGAAUUGACGGGGCCCCGCACAAGCGGCGGAGCAUGCGGAUUAAUUCGAUGCAACGCGUAGAACCUUACCUGGGUUUGACAUGGAUCGGGAGCGCUCAGAGAUGGGUGUGCCUCUUUUGGGGUCGGUUCACAGGUGGUGCAUGGCUGUCGUCAGCUCGUGUCGUGAGAUGUUGGGUUAAGUCCCGCAACGAGCGCAACCCUUGUUCACUGUUGCCAGCACGUUAUGGUGGGGACUCAGUGGAGACCGCCGGGGUCAACUCGGAGGAAGGUGGGGAUGACGUCAAGUCAUCAUGCCCCUUAUGUCCAGGGCUUCACGCAUGCUACAAUGGCUGGUACAGAGAGUGGCGAGCCUGUGAGGGUGAGCGAAUCUCGGAAAGCCGGUCUCAGUUCGGAUUGGGGUCUGCAACUCGACCUCAUGAAGUCGGAGUCGCUAGUAAUCGCAGAUCAGCAACGCUGCGGUGAAUACGUUCCCGGGGCU
rnacentral:rRNA from 1 species